GUAUGUAUAUAAGAACAUACAUACACAUGUACAUAUAUUAUAAUGAUUAAAUCUGUAACACAAGUCGCUCGAAUCUGGGUCCGAAUACGAAUCCGAUAUCCCCGUGCUGAUAUUUGUGGGGAUCGUAUAAGUUUUCAUUUUCUACAUGAGGCACGGACAACAACAAUACACAAAAUAGCAACAACAACAAAUGAGGGACCACAGGAGCAACAGAGCCGAGUUCAAAACCAGUUUUGCGCGCCAAGGCAGGCAGGCUGUAAGAGGAAAAAAAAAAUAAACAAAACCGAAGCAGACGGCCAAAGGAUAGGAAAAGGGAAAAAGUCGGGGGUUUGGAUAUUUCUGAGUUCCCUGUAGCACGCCCAACAACAACAGCAAAACAACGAAAAUAACUCAUGUUGCAACACCAGAACCAGUACAACAACAAAAGUACCAGCAACAUGUAAACAUUUUCUGAGAGUACAUACAGUGGUGGCUAGCAAAAUAAACACACCUUAAGUUAUUGAUAAUCAUUUUAGUCUAAUAAAAUUGUUUGAAUGUUGAAACUUUUAAGAAACAUUUAAGAAAAAUUACAGAAAUAUUUCGAUAUUGGUUAAAAUUUCUCGUGUAAUCCUUAAAAUGCUAUUAUCUUGCCGCUCGCUGUAUUUACACAACAUAAACAUAUCGAAAAAAGUGGGAGGCAAAGGAAAAGGAGUCGAGGUCCAGGCCGCGGGAAGGCCACACAGCAGCAACAACAAAGUUGAUGGCCAAACCGGAUAUCAGAAAAAUUGAAAGUUUUAUGCAACACAAUCGAGGAAUCGCGGGAUCUUGCUGCGCCUGUAGUGUCGUAAGCUCUCUUCCUCCCGGCCAAAAGUGACUCACUUUUUGAAUUUUAACAAUUCAAAAAAAAAAUUGUAACCCAAUAAUUUUUAUAGUUGUUAACUAUCUUUCCAGAAUUUUCUUCAGUGUUGCGCGAGGCAAAAAGGGAAUAUUAAAGCCGUACAAAAACAUAAAAACAGGGAAACUUCGCUUGCGCUGUUCUCAGUCGUUGUUGUUGUUGUUUUCCCCUUUUUUUCUCUAUGUAUGCGGCGAAGUUGAGAGAGACAGAGAGCGAGAGUAGACCAUGACCAAGAGAGCCAGAAAGAGAGGGUAGGAAAUUUACAAAAACAUAGAACGUACACAACAGAGCUGCCACAGAGGCGAAGUUGCGACCUCUGUUGCGCGUACAGUAGGCAACAAAACAUGCGGCGAGUUACUGAGAACGGAAAACACAAGGCGGCCAACAACAGAAACGAAGUAAAGCAAAAGCAGCAAAAACAGACUCUGUUGGAAAAAUGUAAUAUGAAAUUGGAUGCUUUUCGUACUUUACAGUUUUUGGGCGGCUGUUAAAAGUGGCGCUGCUGUUAGAUGCAGUGUGUGAGUGGGAUGGCAAAUUGAGCGAAGUGGAGAGAGAGGGAGUUCAAUGUCAAGGUGUCCUUGAAGCGGAGCAGAAAACACAAAACACUGACCUGACCCCAAAAAAGGGGGCGGGGUCCCUUGGUGACCCUCAACGAGGACGACUGAAGUGUUUUUGCUUUAUGCGCGGGAAGGAUGGAAAAUCGAUAGACAAGAGCAUACAUAUACAUACAUAGACAAAGCGGAAUGAUGAUAUUUGUACGUACAUAUAAAGUUUGCCACACGAGAGUGAUAAGUUGCAUAAUUUAGCAGGAUAUCAUAAAUUGGUGCAGGCGCAUGUUCGGGUGUCCUUUUAUCAGACUGAAAAAGGCGGAGAGAACUGUUUGCUCCCCAAAGAAGCACCUUUAUCCUGCUCACAACCCCUUCACCAGAAAUCCCCACCAUUCCCCCCAUUCACCAUUCCCAAUGCGAAAUCCCAUGUGUCUGCGACGAAAUAAUCGGGAUGUGAGGAAUGCCAAAAGGGGCGAUGCUGGGAAUUCUGUGGAUCCCGGUUUUGUCAGUUCGAAAUUUCAAGUGGCAUCCAAGUGCUUCCGCCCAUUUUCCCAUUAUGCUAUUGAAAUGCACUUGGGGAAAUGGGAAGUCACUAAAUAAAUGUAAUGUAACAGGUGUGUUAUUAUAAUAGAAGACAUACAUAUAAUGCAAAUAUAA
rnacentral:sRNA from 13 species